UACGUAGGUGACAAGCGUUAUCCGGAAUUACUGGGCGUAAAGCGCACGCAGGCGGUGCGGUAAGUCUGAUGUGAAAUCUCCCGGCUUAACUGGGAGGGGUCAUUGGAAACUGCCGAGCUUGAGGCGAUGAGAGGGGUGUAGAAUUCCCGGUGUAGUGGUGGAAUGCGUAGAUAUCGGGAGGAAUACCAGUGGCGAAAGCGGCACCCUGGCAUUAGCCUGACGCUCAUGUGCGAAGGCGUGGGGAGCGAACGGG
rnacentral:rRNA from 1 species